rnacentral:rRNA from 1 species
GUUAAACGGCCGCGGUAGCCUGACCGUGCUAAGGUAGCAUAAUCACUUGCCUCUUAAUUGGUGGCUGGAAUGAAAGGACACACGAGAGCUAAGCUGUCUCUUACUUACUAACUAAAAACUAACCUUUAAGUGAAAAGGCUUAAAUAAUUUUAUAGGACAAGAAGACCCUGUCAAGCUUUAUUACAAUGGGUUAUUAGUGCCAUUUAUCGAAUGCAUUAAAAUUUUUCAAAUAAUUUGUCAUAACAUUGAACGUAAUUUAGUUGGGGCGACUGGAGACCAAAACUAGCGUCUUCCCUUAUUAUAAGGGUAAUAACCCGUACAAACCUGAUCCAAAAUAGAACAAGAGACAAGCUACUGCAGGGAUAACAGGCUAAUUUUCCUCGAGAGUGCAAAUCGAAAGGAAAGUUUGGCACCUCGAUGUUGGCUUAAGACAACCGUAAAGUGCAGCAGCUUUAUAUGGUAGGUUUGUUCACCCUUUAAAGU